CCCAUACCCCAUACCCCAUAUCCCAUACCCUAUAUCCCAUACCCCACCCCCCACCCCCGCACCCCCCCGCGCCCCACCCGUGUAGGAUCGCGGCUCCCCUCUCCGGUUUCUCCCCUUUCUGAUUCAGCGCCGCACUUCGCAACUUCCGCCCGGCCGAUGGGGCCGCCCCGACCCCGCCCUAUAAACACCGACCCCGCCCUAUAAACACCGCCCCGGCCCCGUCAAUAGGGGCCCGGCCCUAUAAACACCGACCCGACCCUAUAAAUACGGAGCGAACCCCAUCGGGACAGAGCACUGCGGGGCCGCUCCAGUGCGACCCCAUCAAUCUGGACCGGACCCUACAAAUACGGAGCCGACCCUAUAAAUACGGACUGAGCCCUAUAGAUACGGACUGAACCCUAUAAAUACGGAGCAAACCCCAUCAGUACGGAGCGCUGCGGGGCUGCCCCGACGCGACCUGACCCUAUAAAUAUGGAGUGAACCCCAUCAAUCCAGACCCGACCCUACAAAUACGGAGCGAACCCCAUCAGGACAGAGCACUGCGGGGCCGCCCCGACGCGACCCGACCCUAUAAAUCCGGACCGGACCCUAUAAAUACGGACUGAACCCUAUGAAUCCGGACCCGACCCUAUAAAUACGGAGCCGACCCUAUAAAUACGGAGCAAACCCCAUUGGGACGGAGCGCUGCGGGGCCACCCCGACCCGACCCGACCCUAUAAAUCUGGACCGGACCCUAUAAAUACGGAGCCGACCCUAUAAAUACGGAGCGAACCCCAUUGGGACGGAGCGCUGCGGGGCCGCUCCGACCCGACCCUAUAAAUCUGGACCGGACCCUACAAAUACGGAGUCGACCCUAUAAAUACGGAGCGAACCCCAUUGGUACGGAGUGCUGCGGGGCUGUCCCGACCCGACCCAACCCUAUAAAUCCAGACCAGAACCUAUAAAUACAGACCCGACCCUAUAAAUACGGAGUGAACCUUAUAAAUACGGACCAGACCCCAUCAAUCCGGACCCGACCCUAUAAAUCCGGACCUGACCCUAUAAAUACAGAGCCGACCCUAUAAAUACGGAGCAGAUCCUAUAAAUACGGAGCAAACCCCAUCAGCACGGAGCGCUGCGGGGCGCUGAGCCGACCCUAUAAAUACAGACUGCUGAGGGGCUGCCCCGACCCCAUAAAUCCGGACCCGACCCCAUAAAUCCGGACCCGACCCCAUAAACCCAGAGCUCUGUCGGACCCGGGAACGGUGUGAUGGAGCGCCGCCCUUCGGGCUCCGUGGAGGAGCGCGGAGCACUGCUGGAUGUGGGGCCGCCCCACAGCGAUGGGGACAGCGACGGCUCCGAGUGGGAGUGGGAGUGGGAGGAGCACGAAGGUACGGCCCCCCCCGACCCCAAACCCGACCCCAAACCCGACCCUAAAUGUGAUCCUAAAUGUGAUCCUAAACCCGACCCCAAACCUGACCCUAAACCCGACCCUAAACGUGAUGUUAAACCCAACCCCAAACCCGACCCUAAAUGUGAUCCUAAAUGUGAUCCUAAACCCGACCUCAAACCCGACCCUAAAUGUGACCCUAGAUGUGACCCUAAACCCGACCCUAAAUGUGAUCCUAAACCCAACCCCAAAGCCGACCCUAAAUGUGACCCUAAAUGUGACCUUAAACCCGACCCCAAACCCAACCCUAAACGUGAUCCUAAACCUGACCCUAAACCUGAUCUUAAACCCGACCCUAAACCUGAUCCUAAACCCGAUCCUAAACCCGACCCUAAUCCUAAACCCGACCCUAAACCUGAUCCUAAUCCUAAACCUGUUCCUGAUCCUAAUCCCAACCCCAACCCAACCCUAAUCCUAAACCUGACCCUAAACCCGACCCUAAUCUUCAACCCGACCCUAAACCUGAUCCUAAUCUUCAACCCGACCCUAAACCUGAUCCUAAUCCUAAACCCGACCCUAAAAGUGAUCCUAAUCGUGGCCCUAAACCUCAACCUGACCCCAACCCGAACCCAAAUCCCAAUGACCCCACAAUGACCCCACAAUGACCCCAUAAUGACCCCGUAACCCCAUCGAUGGCCCCAAUAAUCCCAUAGCCCCAUUAAUAUCGCAUUAAUAACCCAUUAAUAACUCAUUAAUACCCAUUAAUUGGCAGCCCCGGACCAGCUGUACGCGCGCUGUUUGGCUCACACCCCAUUCAUUAUCUAAUUACUAUUAAUUAAUUACUAUUAAUUAAUUACUAUUAACCGCCCCGGACAGUCUCUAUGCACACUGCUUGGCUCACACCCCAUUAAUCACUGUUAAUUAAUUACUGUUAAUUACCGCUAAUUGCAGCCCCGGACCGUCUCUACGCGCACUGUUUGGCUCACAUGCCGUUAAUUACCGCUAAUUACUGCUAAUUACUGUUAAUUAACAGCCCGGGACCGUCUCUACGCGCACUGUUUGGUUCACAGCCCAAUACCCCAUUAAUUAAUUACUGUUAAUUGCCGUUAACUGCAGCCCCGUACCGUCUCUACGCGCACUGUUUGGCUCAGAUGCCGUUAAUUACUGUUAAUUAAUUACCGUUAAUUGCCGUUAAUUGCAGCCCCGGACCGUCUGUACGCGCACUGUUUGGCUCACACCCCAUUAAUUACUGUUAAUUAAUUACCGUUAAUUGCCGUUAAUUGCAGCCCCGGACCGGCUGUACGCGCACUGUUUGGCUCACAGCCCAAUACCCCAUUAAUUAAUUACUGUUAAUUGCCGUUAAUUGCAGCCCCGGACCGGCUGUACGCGCACUGUUUGGAUCACACCCCAUUAAUUACCGCUAAUUACCGUUAAUUGCCGUUAAUUGCAGCCCCGGACCGGCUGUACGCGCACUGUUUGGCUCACAUGCCGUUAAUUACUGUUAAUUACCGUUAAUUACCGUUAAUUGCAGCCCCGGUCCGGCUGUACGCGCACUGUUUGGCUCACAGCCCAAUACCCCAUUAAUUAAUUACCGUUAAUUACCGCUAAUUGCAGCCCCGGACCGUCUCUACGCGCACUGUUUGGCUCACAGCCCAAUACCCCAUUAAUUAAUUACCGUUAAUUACCGUUAAUUGCAGCCCCGGACCGUCUGUACGCGCACUGUUUGGCUCACACCCCAUUAAUUACCGCUAAUUACCGCUAAUUACCGUUAAUUAAUUGCAGCCCCGGACCGUCUCUACGCGCACUGUUUGGCUCACAGCCCAAUACCCCAUUAAUUACCGUUAAUUACCGUUAAUUACCGUUAAUUGCAGCCCCGGACCGUCUCUACGCGCACUGUUUGGCUCACAGCCCAAUACCCCAUUAAUUACUGUUAAUUAAUUACCGUUAAUUAAUUGCAGCCCCGGACCGUCUCUACGCGCACUGUUUGGCUCACACGCCGUUAAUCCGUUAAUUAAUUACUGUUAAUUACCGUUAAUUGCAGCCCCGGACCGUCUGUACGCGCACUGUUUGGCUCACAUGCCGUUAAUUACCGUUAAUUACUGUUAAUUGCCGUUAAUUGCAGCCCCGGACCGGCUGUACGCGCACUGUUUGGCGCGCACCGUUUGCGCGGCCGCCGCUCCGCUCACGGUGGGGAUUUUCGCUCCGUGCGCCCAUCGGCUGAGCGCCGUUCUGCGGCACCUCGAAGCCUCCCUGCUGUCGCACGCGGCCGCCCUGCAGCGCCGCUCCGCUCUGCGCGGCCGCCCCCCGCCCCGUCCGGCGCGCGGUUGGGCGCUGCUCCACGCCCUCCUCUUCCUGUCCUUCUGCCGCGCGGUCCACCGCCGC
rnacentral:lncRNA from 1 species